CCUCAGUUUCCCACAUCUGACUGCUGGGUGCUUUUCCUGGAAUACCUGCUGGGCAGAGCUGGGGCUGUGCAGAGGCAGGUGCUGCCUGUGCACACGGCCUUCCCUGGCAGAGUCUGAUUUCUGAGGCCUUGGAGGUGCCGGCCCAGGUGACGGGGAGGAGGCGCCUCCUGGGCGGCCCCGCAGCUGGACAGCAGGGCAGGUGACGUGGGGGAGGAGGCACCUCCUGGGUGGCCCGCAGCUGGACAGCAGGGCAGGUGACGUGGGGGAGGAGGCACCUCCCCGGCCGGCCCCGCAGCUGGACAGCAGGUGCCUUGCUGGCAGACACUGACCACUUAUUCCUUGCUUUGAACUGUGAUGCUCGUGCUGUGAGAGAAUGAGUGAGUUGAGACUGGGCAGUGCCCGUUCACAUCCCCUGUUUGCACAGGGAGGGCCCCUUUAGCACAGUCACGGCGAUGGGGGGGUCUGAUGGGCAGCCCCAGGGGCAUCUCCUCCCUUGUGGGGAGGGCCUGGGAGCAGCAGGCUGGGGAUGAGCAGAGCUGUCUUCCCACACAGAUGGCACCCGUGUGGCUUCCCAGCGCCAAGUUGAUGUGGGUCCCUGGCCCAGCCCUGCACAUCCUAUAGCCUGGAAAACAGGCGGAUGACGGAACUGACCGGGCUGUGUGUGACAGGCCAAGGGCCACGCGUGGCACAGGCAUGAUGUGGAGGCCCUGUGAGUGCUGGGCUCCGUGGGUGCCCCGCUGUCACCCUCAUGUGGGCAAGGCAGACGUUCAGAGAUUUGCCGCGUGUAUUCCUGGGUGAAGCUGCUGGCUGGGAUUAGAAGCACCCGUGUGUGGGAGCUGAGUCACUGGAAACGCCAGCCCGAAGCUGCACUGAAGCCUUGCGCGUCCUUUGCCAGUGGACCUCACGGGAAGCCCGAUCCCUGUUUACGGACAGGAGGCUGGGAGGCCAUGAGUGCACUGGGCACGUUCCUGUUCAGGCCAUGCUUGGCACAGUCCAGGAAGGCCACGGCCAGAGGUUUGGAGCCAGCAACACCUCGGGUGCUGUUUGCAGACCCUCGUCCGUAGGACACGGGGCUGUCCGUGCAGGAGGGCCCUUCUGGGUGUGUGGGGAAGUCUCGGGACGAGGGAAAACCAGCCGGGACCAGUUCAGCCUUGCUGACACACCCCUGCCUGGCGCACCUCCGAGGAUUGUCCAUGAGUCCCGGUCAUUAGGGUGGACGGCGAAGCUGCAGAAGCUGGGGGGCCCUGUGUCCCCCAGCCUCUGAGUGUCCCUGAGCCUCUGAUGGCCGCCGGCUGUGCCCCAGCUGGGUGUGGUGUGGAAGUGAGGGAGUGGCGCCUCACACAGAAAACUCAGGCUCCGGGGUGCAGCUGUGAGGUGUGGCCAGGGUCCUGUCCCUGCCGUGGACUCCUGGUGGCCGUGGUCUGUGUGUCCUGCAGGAGGCAGUGUCUUCUGUGAGGUGUGGCCAGGGUCCUGUCCCAGCCGUGGACUCCUCGUGGCCUUGGGCUGUGUGCUGUGGGAGCCGUAUGUUCCCUGGACUUAGUGAUCCUGGUCCUGUCCUUGUUGAAAAACUCAAAUUUUCUGCCAACUAUUUUUUU